GAAGACGGUGGUCAUUAGUAGGCUUGUGUUGUCGGGUAGCCAUUUGCGUUUUUUGCCCGUUUGUGUUCAAACAUGGCAGCAAAGGGUUCGCCUCUAAAGUAGAAGCAAACACGUUCUACAAAAAAUUAACGUCUGUCGUUAAUGGCCUACUGGUCGAAAUGAAUUUAGUUCCUGGGAAUCUUGACUGACGUUUUUCUGUAUGCGAUUGGCUAUUAUGGUUUGUAAUGCCUCCAUACACACUGUUUCGCUUGCUUUUCUCAUUUUGGAAAUGGCCGGGUGGUCAGCACCUUCGUCAGGGUCCCGGGUUCGAGUCCCGGUAAAGCCAUCACCCCUUGAUAUAAAAAUAGAUGCCGGUUUUGACUGUGAGCUUUACUCGCCAAGGUCUCUUGUACGGCGUCGGUUGCGGACCACGCUGAGUGUUGCCUCCCCCAGGAGUACGACAGGCCAGCGGCGGCGGCGGCGGCGGCCGCCCCAUCGGCGCGCCGACACCUGCUGCCGUUCCCGAGUCAGGCCGGCCCGGCCGACGAGGCGCGCUGCUGUCACCUGUGCGGCGCCGAGUUCGUCACACUGGCCGCCGCCAUGGCGCACGAGCGUCUCUGCGGCGGACCAGGAGCCGACGACGGCUGGCUGGACACGGACUCUGUGUCCUCCGAGCCGAUCACUCACUGCUCCGACCAGACGCGCUUUCUCAGCUACCUGGACCUGGUGCCGGCGGCUCGCAGCGUUCAGCAGCCGUACGUGUCGCCGAGCCGGCGGCGCCA